rnacentral:misc_RNA from 1 species
GUUCCGUAGGUGAACCUGCGGAAGGAUCAUUCAUAAUAAAGUGUUUUAUGGCACUUUUUAAAAAUCCAUAUCCACCUUGUGUGCAAUGUUAGAUCUCGUCAAUCUUGGCGAGAUUUUUAUACAUCAACUCAUUCUUUAACUAAUUUGUCUGAAAAAUAUUAUGAAUACUUAAUUCAAAAUACAACUUUCAACAACGGAUCUCUUGGCUCUCGCAUCGAUGAAGAGCGCAGC